AGUCGAACGGUGACAUCAGAGCUUGCUCUGGUUGAUCAGUGGCGAACGGGUGAGUAACACGUGAGUAACCUGCCCUUGACUCUGGGAUAACUCCGGGAAACCGGGGCUAAUACCGGAUACGAGACGCGACCGCAUGGUCGGCGUCUGGAAAGUUUUUCGGUCAAGGAUGGACUCGCGGCCUAUCAGCUUGUUGGUGAGGUAAUGGCUCACCAAGGCGUCGACGGGUAGCCGGCCUGAGAGGGCGACCGGCCACACUGGGACUGAGACACGGCCCAGACUCCUACGGGAGGCAGCAGUGGGGAAUAUUGCACAAUGGGCGAAAGCCUGAUGCAGCGACGCCGCGUGAGGGAUGAAGGCCUUCGGGUUGUAAACCUCUUUCAGUAGGGAAGAAGCGAAAGUGACGGUACCUGCAGAAGAAGCGCCGGCUAACUACGUGCCAGCAGCCGCGGUAAUACGUAGGGCGCAAGCGUUGUCCGGAAUUAUUGGGCGUAAAGAGCUCGUAGGCGGUUUGUCGCGUCUGGUGUGAAAACUCAAGGCUCAACCUUGAGCUUGCAUCGGGUACGGGCAGACUAGAGUGUGGUAGGGGUGACUGGAAUUCCUGGUGUAGCGGUGGAAUGCGCAGAUAUCAGGAGGAACACCGAUGGCGAAGGCAGGUCACUGGGCCACUACUGACGCUGAGGAGCGAAAGCAUGGGGAGCGAACAGGAUUAGAUACCCUGGUAGUCCAUGCCGUAAACGUUGGGCACUAGGUGUGGGGCUCAUUCCACGAGUUCCGCGCCGCAGCUAACGCAUUAAGUGCCCCGCCUGGGGAGUACGGCCGCAAGGCUAAAACUCAAAGGAAUUGACGGGGGCCCGCACAAGCGGCGGAGCAUGCGGAUUAAUUUCGAUGCAACGCGAGAACCUUACCAAGGCUUGACAUACACCGGGAUCA
rnacentral:rRNA from 1 species